GCAUGGUUUUGGAUUUAUGAAUGUCCUUUUUCCGUGGACUUUUCAUAGUGAAUUCCAUGCCAGAAAAAUCGACCACCCUGAACCAUUGCCAGACCUUUAUUUAUAAGUCUUGAGCACUGACAUGGGUGGUACAGUG
ensembl:snoRNA